rnacentral:rRNA from 1 species
AGUGAACGCUGGCGGUAUGCCUAACACAUGCAAGUCGAACGGCAGCACAGUAAGAGCUUGCUCUUACGGGUGGCGAGUGGCGGACGGGUGAGGAAUACAUCGGAAUCUACUUUUUCGUGGGGGAUAACGUAGGGAAACUUACGCUAAUACCUCAUACGACCUACGGGUGAAAGCAGGGGAUCUUCGGACCUUGCGCGAUUGAAUGAGCCGAUGUCGGAUUAGCUAGUUGGCGGGGUAAAGGCCCACCAAGGCGACGAUCCGUAGCUGGUCUGAGAGGAUGAUCAGCCACACUGGAACUGAGACACGGUCCAGACUCCUACGGGAGGCAGCAGUGGGGAAUAUUGGACAAUGGGCGCAAGCCUGAUCCAGCCAUACCGCGUGGGUGAAGAAGGCCUUCGGGUUGUAAAGCCCUUUUGUUGGGAAAGAAAAGCAGCAGGUUAAUACCCCGCUGUUAUGACGGUACCCAAAGAAUAAGCACCGGCUAACUUCGUG